UUUACUUCAGUUGAAUAAAUUACAUAUUUCUUUCAUUUCCAAGUUUUUGUAAAUGAGACAAACAUAUGAAUACACUUCUGAAUUUCUAAAUAACAGCUGGGUACAACAAAUUUUUAUGAUUCACUUUAAUUUGUGAGGAAAGGACCUAGGACAAUAUUGCUACUACAAUUGUUAUCAAUACCUUCCCUACUAAUUUUUUGUAGUUUUAGAAUUUUUUCUACCAAUUCUAGUAUUUGUAUUCAAUUUUAAGAGAUGAGAUAUGUAUUAAACAUGCAUAAUAUACAUUACAAUGUAGUUAUAGAAUUGACUACUUGCACAUAGAAUAUGGCCAAAAUCCAAUUUCAUCCAAUUUUUAUAUUAUGAUGAAGUAACGCACAUAGCAUCGAAAAACAUAUGGAGAUAUUAUAAUUCACCUGAAGUGAUUCAAUUGGUAAAGAAUAAGUUUGUUGGAAUUGCUUUUAGGGUCUGUGCACCGCACUGCAACACUUUUAAGUUGACAUUACCACAAGCUCGGCAGGGGAUGACUGUGGUGGUUUGAUCAGUAAGUAGAUCAGUGUCCAGUACUCGAAGUCUAUGGGGCGUUCAGGCAUUAGCAAGUGCUUUGGAAGCGGACUCAGUGGUUAGGCUGCUUAUGCCAAAAUAAUGAUAGUAGUAAGAAAAAGUAGAUUUUAAUCACAUUAAUUUUUUUUUUUUUUAGUUGCAUGGUUUUGUACAUUCAGUUAACAACUUCAUAUGCAUUUUUAAAACUUAAAAUUUAUCAUACAAAUACAAUGAAUUUUUUUCAUAGAAUGGUAUACAGUAUCUAAUUAUAGAUGAAAUCUAUUGAACAAAUAACCCUUAAUAAUUUAAGAUUCUUAGUUUAUGAGAGUUAAUUUGAUUUUAAUCUGUAGAACUUUUGUAAAAAUAAGUCAAAGAUUGUGUUAAUAAUAAUAUAAGUUACAUAAUUAUUUUUAUAUUAUAUUGAAAAAAACUUAGUUUGCUAACAAAAUUAAUUAAUUAACAUAAAUUAAAACUAUUUUAUAAAAGAUGAAUUUCAAAAAAAAAAAAAAAAAAACCAUACAUACCUAUAAAAUUUGUAUAAAUAUUUUGGAGUCUUUAUAUUCUGAAAUUUUCUUUUGAGUUAUUACAGUUAAAUAAUAUUAUUUUCCACAAACAUCAAUCAUUGCUAAAAAUAACAUAUCGUCAAAAAUAGUUUAGUUGAUUUUCUAUUUAUUUAUAUAUACAUUCAAUUAUUUUUAACUUCUUUCUUUAUUUAUUUCUCUUUGUAUAUGUAAAAACAUAACUUGAAAUACAAUCAAUCAUCCUUAUUAUAUUAAUAUAAAAAAUAGCUUUAUAGAAAGUCUAAAGUAUCAUCUUCAAUUUACAAUUAUUUUAAAACUAUUUUUAUGUAUAAAACAUGAUCAAAUUUUAAGGUUUCUUUAAUAUUCAAAGUACUUUUUUUAUUACGUUUAGGUAUAUCCCUUCUAUUUAACAUCUGAUUGCAAACACAAAUCUUGUUUGAUUAACUUU
rnacentral:lncRNA from 1 species